CGAUCUGGCUCAGGAUGAACGCUAGCUACAGGCUUAACACAUGCAAGUCGAGGGGCAGCAGGACGAUAGCUUGCUAUGUUGCUGGCGACCGGCGCACGGGUGAGUAACGCGUAUCCAACCUCCCUUAGUAGGGCAUAGCCCGGUGAAAAUCGGAUUAAUACCCUAUGUUGUGUCAUGAGGACAUCUGAAUAACACUAAAGAUUUAUCGCUAAGGGAUGGGGAUGCGUCCGAUUAGGUAGUCGGCGGGGUAACGGCCCACCGAGCCCUCGAUCGGUAGGGGUUCUGAGAGGAAGGUCCCCCACACUGGUACUGAGACACGGACCAGACUCCUACGGGAGGCAGCAGUGAGGAAUAUUGGUCAAUGGGCGCGAGCCUGAACCAGCCAAGUAGCGUGCAAGGAUGACGGCCCUAUGGGUUGUAAACUGCUUUUAUAUAGGGAUAAAGUGCACUACGCGUAGUGUUUUGUAGGUACUAUAUGAAUAAGGACCGGCUAAUUCCGUGCCAGCCGCAGC
rnacentral:rRNA from 1 species